AACACAGCUAACACAAGGCCCCGCAGGCAGGACUCUGGGACAGACGCAGGCCAGGUGAGCGUCUGAACAAGGGGCAGUCGGCCAGGGUGGGCUUGCGGGAGUCCCCACCUUGACCUCUCUCCCUUCCGGCUGCCCAGAGCCCAGACCAAGCAUGGACGCCGUGGAUGCCACCAUGGAGAAACUCCGGGCACAGUGCCUGUCCCGCGGGGCCUCGGGCAUCCAGGGCCUGGCCAGGUGAGCUGUCCCCUCUCACCUUCCUGACCCCGGCCCCUGAGACCACUGUUCCAACCGUGUCCCCUGCCUCCAGGUUUUUCCGACAACUAGACCGGGACGGGAGCAGAUCCCUGGACGCUGAUGAGUUCCGGCAGGGUCUGGCCAAACUCGGGCUGGUGCUGGACCAGGCGGAGGCAGAGGGUGUGUGUAGGAAGUGGGACCGCAACGGCAGCGGGACGCUGGAUCUGGAGGAGUUCCUUCGGGCGCUGCGGGUGAGCCCCCACCUCACAGUCAAGGCGUGUGCCCUGGGCAUGGGGCGACAGAGGAUGCCGAGAUGCGGAGACAGGGGACUCCUCCCUAAGAGCUGCUGUUAAGAGGCGCCUGCGGGGGCAUACAGCCCCAGUGCUCUGCACAGCGUCUUGGGGGUUUGGGUGUGCUACCCACCA
rnacentral:sRNA from 1 species